rnacentral:rRNA from 1 species
CUACGGGAGGCUCCAGUGGGGAAUAUUGCACAAUGGGGGGAACCCUGAUGCAGCAACGCCGCGUGGAGGAUGACACAUUUCGGUGCGUAAACUCCUUUUAUAUAAGAAGAUAAUGACGGUAUUAUAUGAAUAAGCACCGGCUAACUCCGUGCCAGCAGCCGCGGUAAUACGGGGGGUGCAAGCGUUACUCGGAAUCACGGGGCGUAAAGAGCAUGUAGGCUGGUUAGUAAGUUGGAAGUGAAAUCCUAUGGCUUAACCAUAGAACUGCUUCCAAAACUACUAACCUAGAAUAUGGGAGAGGUAGAUGGAAUUUCUGGUGUAGGGGUAAAAUCCGUAGAGAUCAGAAGGAAUACCGAUUGCGAAGGCGAUCUACUGGAACAUUAUUGACGCUCAGAUGCGAAAGCGUGGGGAGCAAACAGGAUUAGAUACCCGAGUAGUC